rnacentral:rRNA from 1 species
UGGGAGUGCUCGAAAGAGAACCGGCGCACAGGUGCUGCAUGGCUGUCGUCAGCUCGUGUCGUGAGAUGUUGGGUUAAGUCCCGCAACGAGCGCAACCCUUGUCCUUAGUUGCUACGCAAGAGCACUCUAAGGAGACUGCCGGUGACAAACCGGAGGAAGGUGGGGAUGACGUCAAGUCCUCAUGGCCCUUAUGGGUAGGGCUUCACACGUCAUACAAUGGUCGGAACAGAGGGUUGCCAACCCGCGAGGGGGAGCUAAUCCCAGAAAACCGAUCGUAGUCCGGAUUGCACUCUGCAACUCGAGUGCAUGAAGCUGGAAUCGCUAGUAAUCGCGGAUCAGCAUGCCGCGGUGAAUACGUUCCC